rnacentral:rRNA from 1 species
AUUGAACGCUGGCGGCAUGCUUUACACAUGCAAGUCGAACGGUAACAGGCCGCAAGGUGCUGACGAGUGGCGAACGGGUGAGUAAUGCAUCGGAACGUGCCCAGUCGUGGGGGAUAACGCAGCGAAAGCUGCGCUAAUACCGCAUACGAUCUAUGGAUGAAAGCGGGGGACCGUAAGGCCUCGCGCGAUUGGAGCGGGCGAUGUCAGAUUAGGUAGUUGGUGGGGUAAAGGCCCACCAAGCCAACGAUCUGUAGCUGGUCUGAGAGGACGACCAGCCACACUGGGACUGAGACACGGCCCAGACUCCUACGGGAGGCAGCAGUGGGGAAUUUUGGACAAUGGGCGCAAGCCUGAUCCAGCAAUGCCGCGUGCAGGAAGAAGGCCUUCGGGUUGUAAACUGCUUUUGUACGGAACGAAACGGUCCUGGUUAAUACCCGGGGCUAAUGACGGUACCGUAAGAAUAAGCACCGGCUAACUACGUGCCAGCAGCCGCCGUAAUAC